rnacentral:rRNA from 1 species
GACGAACCGUGCGAACGUUAUUCGGAAUCACUGGGCUUAAAGGGAGCGUAGGCGGGCUAUCAAGUCUGGGGUGAAAUCCCACGGCUCAACCGUGGAACUGCCUCAGAUACUGAUGGCCUCGAGGGAGAUAGGGGCAUGCGGAACUGUAGGUGGAGCGGUGAAAUGCGUUGAUAUCUACAGGAACUCCGGUGGCGAAAGCGGCGUGCUGGACUCUCUUCUGACGCUGAGGCUCGAAAGCUAGGGGAGCAAACGGG